UACGGAGGGUGCGAGCGUUGUCCGGAAUUACUGGGCGUAAAGGGCUCGUAGGCGGCCAACUAAGUCAGACGUGAAAUCCCCAGGCUCAACUUGGGAACUGCGUCUGAUACUGGAUGGCUUGAAUUCGGGAGAGGGAUGCAGAAUUCCAGGUGUAGCGGUGAAAUGCGUAGAUAUCUGGAGGAAUACCGGUGGCGAAGGCGGCAUCCUGGACCGACAUUGACGCUGAUGAGCGAAAGCUAGGGGAGCAAACGGG
rnacentral:rRNA from 1 species